UCCGGAGAAAAAUAAACGUGAUUAACCAGCUGUUGAUGACGUCAUGCGAGUUUUUGGGUGCUUGCUGACAGCAGGCUCCCAUAGAAACAUUGUGAAAUCAUCUGAUCCUGAUACCAACCUCUCAGGGGCAUUACCUCUCAUUUUGUUGUACCUUUCAAGUGCUACCUUUUUCAUUUCCUCAGGAGAUGCGAAGUGUUUAUUAGUGUGAUCAAAAGCUCCACUUCGAAGAACAUAUUCAGUGCUCAAUGCUAGAGAAUUUACCCAAUGUCCAUGACCCUUCAAUUCACGUAUCAGCUUCCCUUGCGUGGUUUCCCAUACCUUGAUUGUACAGUCUUGAGAUCCCGUGUAUAUAACUCCAUCUCCACCCCAUUUUACACAUGUUAUUGCAAGUGUAUGGCCAGUGAGACAAAUGAGACACUUCCUUGUGGUAACAUCCCAUAUCCGUGCAUCGCCAUCUUUACUUGCACUUACAAAGCGGCGACAUGGAGCACUGAGGUGUACAGGUUCCCAAGAAAUACCAGUUAUCCAUUUCUUGUGGCCAGUAAGCGGAUUCCCUAAAGGCUUCCCAGUCUGAAGGUCCCAACAGAUAAGUUCUCCAGCCUUGCUUCCACUAACAAGAUGCUUACCAUCUGGCGACCAUGCAACAGAAAGAACCCAAUUUCUGUGCCCUGUUUCUUUUCACUUUUCUUUUUGUUGCGUAGCAACUGCAAUAUAUUUGGUUAUACAGGUAGCUUGCAGACUCAUAACUAGUAUUUGAUGCUGAAAUUUCAAAAGGAAAGAACAGGCAAUCCCUUGACAUGUAAACAACGGUGUCUGGGUAUUUAGAUCCCACAAACGAACUGUAGUGUCACCAGAUCCACUUGCCAACUGUCGUCCAUCAGGACUGAAGGCAACUGAAAGAACAGCUUCAGUAUGACCAGCAAUUGUGGCCGAACAACGAGUGACAGGGCGGAUUCGAAACACUGCUUGUGGUUGAUAAACUAUGGUCAAGACUUUUUCCACAGACACUUUAUUCUUCUCUAAGUAUGAUCCAAGCUGCACCACAAGCUCUUCAUCUGAGAUAUAAAAUGCAUAAGGCAACUUUUCCUCAUUGCUGAG
rnacentral:misc_RNA from 1 species